rnacentral:lncRNA from 1 species
GUCUGGGGCUCCGGGUAAAGUUUCAGCCUCCGCACGUGACUCGCUAUGGCCGCUGCCAUCGCCCCGCGCCCCUGAGCCGCGGCCCCCCGGACGGCUCCUCUCCCGGGACCCCGCACCCUGAUGCCGAGCAGCACCAGGGCGCCGGGUUAGGGCAGACGCUGUGCUCGCUGGCACCCCGAACGGGUUGCGUCCCCCGCUGCGAGCAUCACAGGACAUGGCCCCCUCAGCCACCUAGCUGGGGCCCAUCUAGGAGUGGCAUCUUUUUUGGUGCCCUGAAGGCCAGCUCUGGACCUUCCCAGGAAAAGUGCCAGCUCACAGAACUGCUUGACCAAAGGACCGGCUCUUGAGACAUCCCCCAACCCACCUGGCCCCCAGCUAGGGUGGGGGCUCCAGGAGACUGAGAUUAGCCU